UGCCACAAUGAUGACUAAUAUAGUUUGCUACUCUUGACCAAGACAAUGAUGAGAGCUUAUACCACCAUGAUUUCCAUCUGAGGCA
ensembl:snoRNA SNORD24 Small nucleolar RNA SNORD24